rnacentral:lncRNA from 1 species
CCACACUCAAGGUUGUCGUGAAAUUAUAAUAGGGAUUAAGGGAGUAACUUAUGGUUCUACAAAUUUUGGGGUAAAACAGGGAAGCCUAUGCAGUGCUUUAGAGCCAUAUCAAUUGGACGGAAAAAAAAGAACUUAAGCACUUUGGUUCUUAUGGGUAUGACUUGAACUUCUCUUCUGCGUUCUUUUUAGAUUAUAAUUUGUACAUUGUUCAUAGGAAUCCAUUAUUUAUUGGAAAAUUUACACCAGUAAGACAUCGUAGGCCGCAAGGUUAUUUAAGUUUCAUCUUAUUCAUAUGGUUAAGGAGAUUUAAUAGUACAAUGAAUAGACUGUACGAAUGCUUUCUAUUUAGAAGAUUGGAGAUUAGUUUAACUUAUCCGUAGCUUGGAAUAAUACACAACAACAACGGCAACCCAAUACAAUCCCACGAAGUGGGGUCUGGGGAGGAUAAUGUGUAUGUAGAUCUUACCCCUAUCCGGAUAAGGCAGAAAAGUUAUUUCUGAUAUAGCCUCUGCUCAGGAAAAUGGAAAAAGCAUCUGGAAUUACAUCACUAAAAAUAAUGAAGGGUCCUAACUAAUAAUAACUAUGAACAUUGAAAUAUUAAAAUAGAACUACCCAUGGUAGAAUAGAAUUGGAUGUCAUUUUGUCAUCGCAGUUAAAGUACAGAUAUAUAUUAUGUGACGAUCCGAUCGGUCAUCUUAAAAAUAAAUGACCCAAUCCCCUAUUUACUGCUUUCCUUAAGUUUAUUUAUAUUAAUUUAGUUAGUUAGGACGUUCAGUUUUGAGUUUCGGAGAGUUUUGGGACACUUAGUCUCUAGUUGAGAGCUUAAGCGUUGGAAAGUUGCCCCUAGUCGGAACAAUUUUAAGACGGCCUCAAAAUGGAAAUCCUAUGGUUUCGUUAGCUUUUUUAGGUGAUUUCGGGGUUGGGAGCAUGUUCGAAAUGUGUUUUGGAGGUCCGUAGCUACUUUUGACUUGAAGUGCGGAAGUUUAAAUUUUUGAAGUUUCUGGUUAAUAGGAGAGAUUUUGAUCCGAUGGUCGGAAUGGAAUUCCGAAAGUUUCAGUAGCUCUGUCAUGUUAUUUGGGAUAUGUGUGUAAAAUUUAGGUCAUUCAAACGUAGUUUGCUUGGGUUUUUCAUCAAAAGAGUAUUUCGAAGGUUUUUAGAAAAUUACGCUUGAAUUCAAUGUAAUUUGAUGGUUAUGGUGUUGUUUAAGGUAUUUUGAUGAUUCGAACAAGUUUGAAUGAUAUUUUACAAUGCGUUGGUGCUUUUGGUCGAGGUCUCGGGCGCCUCGGGGUGAUUUCGGAUGGCUAUCGGGAAGUUUUGAAUUUGGGUGAAGUGCAGAAAAUGCAGCAGCAGGUGCAGGAGGAUUUUUGCCUUCACGAUCGCGGGCCUGGGGCCGCAUUCGCGUAGAGGAAAGUUGGGGUCCCUGAGUUUUGUACUUCGCGUUCGCAUCUGGUGUGUCGCAUUCACGGAGUGUCCUUGUGGUUAUCUUUCGUGUUCGUGUGUUAAGUGUCGUGUUCAUAUAGUCAUGUUUGGCGCAUGAAGGUUCAAGAGCUAAUACUCUUCGCAUUCGCGGGAGUGGGGACGCGUUCAUGGAGAUUCACAGGUCCAAGGCAUCGCGUUCGCGGGUGUGCAGAUGCGUUCGUGAAGAGUUAUUUCUAGAGGCCAGAAUUUGUGCUUCGCGAUCGCGAGCCUGGGGCCGCAAUCGCAUAGAAGAAAGUCAUAGCUGGGCAGGUUUUUAAAAUAUUUCAUCCACGAGCCUAAGUUAUUUUUCCAUCAUUAUUGAGCAUUUUGAGAGCUCUUUGAGAGAAAUUGAAUAGGGAUUUGAAGAGAAUUGAUUGGAUGUAAGUUUUACGAACCAAAAACGUGAUUAUUAUGUGAAAUUAGCCUAGAAAUUCAUGGUAUUUAAUUGAAAAAUUAAGAAUUAUGGCUAGGAUUUUUGAAUUUUAAGUUGGGAUUAGGGGUCAUUUGAACUCUGAUUUUUGUGUUCUUUUAAUGUAUAGACUCGUGAGAGUAAGAGGUUUUCGAAAAUAUAAGUUUCACCUGAUUCCGAGAAGCUGGUAUGAGGGGUGUUUUUGUUAUUUUACCUACUUUCGCAUCUUAGCUUUGAAUUAAAUAGUAGAAUCAGUUGUUUGAGAUGUUAUUUAGGAUAUUUAAUAGAAUUGAAUAGAUUUGGUCCAUUUGGAGUCAAACACUCGUGGCAAAAGUUUGAUUUCGAGUUGAUUUUUUAGCCGGUUCGAGGCAAGUGGCUUGUCUAACCUUGUGUAGGAGACUUUCCCCUUAGGAUAUGAUAUUUGGUAAUUGAAUGCCCUGUAUGUGAGGUGACAAGCGUGUACUUGAGCUAAUUGUUGAAAAUCAAAUUUUAUUUAAAUAUUUAGAUUGAGUUUCUUUCUUAUCUGCUUAUUUCUAUUUGCCAUUAUAGCCCGUUUAGUUUAAAAAAGCAUGCCUAGUUGAUCUAAAUUGCCUAUUUGGUUAGGUUGCCUUGUUUGUACUACGUGAAGCAUGCUAGGCUAGAACUACUUGUUGCCUUAUAUUUCAUUGAACUUCAUUGUUGAAUAUCUUCUUGUUGUGUCUGCGUAUUUACGUUGGGACUACGGAUGUGGGAUUUCGGUAGCUCCCGCCCUAUCUAUUUACUUUGGGACUAUGGGUUAGAUUCCCGAUAGAUCCCCUACACAUUUACUUUGGGACUACGGGUUAGAUUCAUGAUAGAUCCUCGUUGUUGGUACUGGUAUUGAGUUGUUUACUCCGUGUUACCUUAUUUUCUGUGUGUUAUUUGUUGCCUUGUGUAACCUGUAUUACUUUAUAGUUGUACUCAUUAUUCAUGUUUAUUACAUAUUGUUUCAAAAUGUAUUAUUAUGUUUAUUCUUAGUAGAGCCCUGACCUUCCUCAUCACUACCCGACCGAGGUUAGGCUUGGCACUUACUGAGUAUUAUGGUGGUGUAGUCAUGCCCCUUCUACGCAUGUUUUUCAUGAGCAAAUCCAGGUACCUCCACCUAGACGUGUUAUUCUUGAGGCGGAGAGAUCUAGUAGAUACUUCGAGGUACAUCUACCGUGUUUGCAGACCAUGAGUCUCUAUCUUAUUAUAGAUUUACCAGUUAGCUUUCCUUUCAUACUGUUAUUUUAGACAUUAUGGAUUUAGAGUUGUGUAUUACAUUCCGUUAGCUUGUGUUCCCAUGAGUUUUUAGGUUUUUGGAUAGUAUUGUAGUAGUUGAGCUAUUGUUAGGCUGACCUAGUUGUAGGAAUUAGGUGCCGUUAUAACAUGUUCAUGGAGGGAGAACAGGGAUCAUGGCAUAUUGACUUUUGAAGAAAAUUAGAGUGACCCUAUCUUUCUGGAGUUGAAAAGAGUUGCUUCACAACAAUCUUUCAAGUGUCACCAUAAGCGUUUAUAAGCAACUUCAUACUGCUUUUGUCCUCCUAAUUUGAGUUUGAGUUACUCUUCAAAGAACCACUAAAUUAUUACUAUGUAGAAAACAUGGUUGAUAGCCUUGCCAAAUUAUAUAAAAAGACUGAAUGAUAAGGAUCUAAAUUUGAAAUCAAACUUUUAGUUCAGAAUAGGUGAACUUACAUUAAUAGUUGUUACAGUAGCUUGGAUUAAUAUAAUUUGACAAAAUUAGAACUAAACAUGAAAUCCUAAGGGUGGAGCAUUAUAGAUUAGUUGUGGAUUAGCAUGAGUAAGAAAAUUAAUUAGAGAUCAAUAUGAUGUGAUUAUAGAUUAACCGAAAGGGGUCUCGCAAACUGCUCAAGAUGAUGAGCUUGGUAUUUUGAUACGAGUACGGUGAGUAGUAAUCUUACUGCAGUUUGUAUUUUCAUCACCUGCAUUAUUUAAACAUAAUUUUUAAUAUGACUAUAUAACUGAAUAAUUCGAGUUACAUGUGGGACAAGUCCUUUACUCAAUAUGAUACAGAAAUAUUUAUUUGACAUGAACACCGUUAUUUUAAAUAUUCUUGCUCUCACUAGAUAUGUUUUACAGUUACUUAGAUUUACUAUUGUAGAAAUGAAAUUUCAUCAUUUGAUAAAAAUCGAAAUGCCCUAUAUUGUUUUAAUAUAUUUUUCUAAGUAUAUACGGAUACCGAGACAAGUAUAAAUGAGAGUAGACUUUGAAGGAUCCCGUAGCUAACGAUGGGUUCGUUAGACCUGGUGUACCUUAUAUUACUGAUUACCGAGUAUAGUCAUAGCCCUUGCUAGUGAGAAGGUAGAACUAGCACACGUUAUAAUUUUCCCUCGAUUAGGGACCUACAGUUAUAUUUGACUCCUUUUACGAAGGGGUCCACACAGUGAUACAGAUUACAUGAUUCUUUUCUGGAAACCUCCCAAAUAUAAAUAUUUGCUACGACACAGUAUUUACCGAGUUUAUUGUUGAAUUGUUAAAUUGAUUUUGUUUCAGGAAACACAUAACAAGACUGAUUAUUAUUAUCGUUAAAAAGGGUAUUUUAUUUUGUGAUUAUUAUACAAUCAUAUUUUUUAUUUGUCCCCUAUUAAAAACGGUUGUGGCUAAGUAUUAUUACUCACUGAGCUAGCGACUCACUCCCGGCUAUUAUUUUUACAGAGACAAUAAUAGAAGUAGACGAUGAUUUUGUUAAGCAGAGUACACAAGUUGAUAGUUCCUCGUGAACCCCGCAUUUAUUUGCAUGGAAAAGGUUGUUAUUCAAUUCUUAUAGUCUCUUUCUUGAAACUCUUAGAGUCGCUCCAUAGUCAUUUUUAUGAGUGUCAUAAGUAUUCUUUUAUUGGUAUAGUCUUUUGACUUGUAUUAUACUUUCGUAUCGUAUACUUGGAGAUGAAGUUAGUAUUAUCGCAUUGGAAAUACAUCAUGGAUGAGCAUUACAACUUGUUUGUUCGAUAUAGGUUGGUUGUGUUGUUGAUUUCUGAGACAUGUAAAUUUUGGAUAGUCCUAAAAUAAGGGAAACUCUGUCCAAUUUUCUGUAAAUUAUCAAUGAGGCUUACUUGGGAGAACUUGCUCCUAAGCACCCGUCAUGAUCCUAAAUUAGGUCGUGAAAAAAGGUCAAGGCUUGGGUUCCAGCUGGCUAGACAAUGUAAUAAUAAAGAGUAGUAGAUUGUGAUAGAGGAAGAGAGCAAGAACUUUGAUACUUUUAUAUAUUUGUGUGUGUGUGUGUGUUAAAAAAAGAACGAGGCUUAUAUAGCAUUAAGUAGAGUAAUAAAAAUAAGGCAAGGAAAAUUAAUGUCACAUAAAUAAAGUAUGCAAAUCAAUUAACCAAUCAGUUAGGGCUAAACCUAAUCAAUUGAUAAGAUCGAAUCCGAAGAAUAUUGCUUAAAUUCGGGAGAGUUUCAUACGAAAUCAGUCAGCAGGCAUGUUUGAAGAUAAAUAAGGUAAGCAAUAAAUCUAAAGACCAUAUAUUAGACUAAUUAAUCUAAAUAAAGCAAGUAGUACCUAUUAAAUAUCAUAAAUGAAAAAAAAAUGUAAAAUCACGGGGAAGUACUAAUUUUAAUAGGAAAAAUAUAAUUCGAACCCUAAGUAAAAUUAGUAAAUCUAUUUUGAUUGACAGAGAUAAAUAAUAAUGGGAAAUAUUGAAGCGAACAGUGAGACAAAUGAACAAACAAAGGACUAGAACAUAUGCAUGAAAGAGUCGGUAGAACUAGUAAAGAUAAUUAGAUUCAAACACUUAGAAACUUUAGAAAAGUUUUGUAGAAACAAGAAGAAGUGGAACCUUUGUUUUAGAGAAAAAUUAUGAUCGAUUAACAGUAAGGAAAGCAAAAUACCGUUAAAUGAAAAUUCUAUAGAAACUCAAAACCACUACAGAUCUACAGCAGAUAAUAAAGAAUCUAAAUGCUAAUUUGGAAAACAUUAAAAUUAGCCGAUAACAAGAAGAACAGGAAAAUUUUAAAGAAAACUACCGUGUAAACUUGAAAAUAUUUAAAAUCCACAAGGAUCUGAAAAGGUUCAAAGUGUAAGAGAUGAGGGUUUUGAGGAAAUGACACAGAUGAAAGAAAAUAUGGUUUGGAACCAGAGAUUCGAGCCAUAAACACAAGAUAACAGUACUCACAAACAGAGAUGACCGUAGAUAGAUUCUUAAACAGUUUAGAACAAAAUCUGGGUUGGACCUCUUCGAGAUCCCUUCAUAAAAUACCAAAAUCGAACAACUAUAUGAGGAAAGAGGCCGAUAGGGGCCUCAAAUCAUCACGGAACUCUAUGGAACGAGAAAUAAUCAAGGAUUUGGGGGAAAAAUUUAGGUAACGACGCUAGGGUUAGGAUUAGUUUCAGAGAAAAAUAAAGAAGAUGGGGAUCUAUAGGCGGCUGUCUUCAAAGAAAUUGCUAGGGUUAGGGGGUCGUUUGAGUUAAAAAAAAGGAAAGGAGGAAUGGGGGCCGUUGAUCUCAUAGAUCAACGGCAAAGAUUAGAAGGGUUUGGGUCAGGUAAACGUCUUUAGGUUUGGGUUGGAUUGGUUUGGGCUUAGGUUAAAAUUAAAUUGAGCUGGGGAAGGUCAAAUUUUGGAUAUAAUUAGAGGCUAUUUGUUUAAUACCUAGUUUACUAAAUAAAAUAUAAUUUAAAAAUAGCUAAUUAAAUGAUAAAAAAUGAUUUUAUGCAUGAAGGUGGGUUAAAAUAAUUACUUAAUAUUAUGAAAAUAUAAAAAGUUAUUUUUUGUAUAGAUAAUAUAGUUAUGCAUAUAUGUGGGCCAUUAUUGAAAAAUAUGUAAUUAUAGUCUUAGAAAUACAAAUGUAGUUGUAAAAAAUACAAUUAAAAUAUUUGACUUAUAUAAGUGUGAGCAUGUGAUUCUUGCCUCAUUUAAAUUAAGCCUAUAGAAUUCUCAGACUUAGGAUUUCUCCUUUUUAUUAUUCAACUAUAGGAUUUAAUUGCGCAUAUUUGUGUGUAUUUUCAUUGGUGCAUGCAUGACUAGUCAGAAAAAAUAACACAAAAAAAUUACAUAAGCAUUUAGGAUUUGAUUUCACAUAUUUUUGUUACAAUUAAUUGGUAAUUAGGGUUUUGUUAUGCGAAAUAUAAAAAUCACAAAAAUAAAUAGUUUAUUUUGGCAUUAUUUAAUUUGUAGUAUCAAAACUGUUAAUUUUCAUAUUUGAUUAGUUUAGGUGAUUAUUAGUCUAAUCUAGUUGAAUUUAGUAUUUAGUUUAAUAAGAAAUUUUAAAAUAAAAAGUUUUAAAAAUGAAAAUGAAAAAAAGAAGAAGGAAUUAAAAAGAAUUAGAUCAAGCUGGCCACAAUUGGGCCAAACCUGGGAGACCCAAAUCCCUCUACCCAUCCAAAAUACCCAAAACAUCGGCCCAACCCGUCUCUGACCUAAGAUGCUAUGAGAGACGCCCCAAAACGACGUCAUUUAGGGGCCAUCAAUCUCAGCCGUUCAUCAACCAUAAUCCAACGGUCUGGGUUCGAUAAGGAGAGUACAUAAAAAUGUCUGAAUCAGACCAAACCCUAGAGACAAACAGUCUCUUCCUCGUACCCUCUGUCUCCACUAAUACGCUUCCCUACCGCUGCCGGCCGGAAAUCAUCUCGGCAGGCGGCAGAGCUCCAACGCUUCCAAAAAUACACCCCUGACUCACUGUGCCCUCAUCUUUCUGAUGCCCUAAGAAUCAAGUCUCGGCUGUGAGCCAAUCUCUUCGAAUAUUAGAAUCUUUGGGCACCGCUUCCACCGCCCACGGUGGCGCCACCGCCGGAACCUUUCCAAAAUAACACCCUAUGUCCCUUACCUCAUCCCCAAAAUGGAUCCAUGUUCAAUUUCCUCCAAACCUCCGUCCAUUGCUUCGAAUAUUAGUUCAAAGCACAGACCAAAUCUCUAACCUCCCUGGAAUCAUUGAAACUGAUACCAGGUGACCUCCUCACCUUCCUCUCCACAAAUCCACAAGCAACGACUUUCAAAUUUCAAUUGAACCUGGCCAAAAAUCAAAUCAAAAUGGUCUGAAACCCAAACCCCACCCCAAACUAACUAACCUUACACCUGUUACCCUCUCCCCUUCUCAGAUUAUUGCACAAAGUUCCCAAAAGGCCCAUGACAUUCCCAAAUUUGAAACCAAAAAUGAUUGGAAACUACGAGACACCAAAGUCAAAGGUCUUAGGGCUGUUAUGUUAAGCUAAGUUCCCUGUUCUCCUCUUGAUUGCUUCUAAAUUUUUUUCUUUGUUUUCGUUUGUGUGAGUACAUGAAUGUUCUAUUUGCUCAUCUAUGAAAAUAUUAUGAUAAGUUGCUUUGUGUUCAUCCAGAAUCAUGGGCCUUUUGUUUUAUGUUUUUGAUAACCGGUUCUAAAUGGUCCCUUUACCAAUUGAAUUCAUAGAUGUUCUAUUGUGUUCGCUUAAAUUGUUCAUCUUUCCCUGGUAUAACUUUCCCUUUUCGUUUAAACUUGGUCAAUGUUCAUUUGUGAUAAACCUUAUGUUUGUUUCUGAAUUUUGUGCUGGUUAGCUUUAUUUUUUCCUCUUAGUAAUUCAGUCCCAUAUUUUGGUACCUCUCUAAAUCCGCCUAUAUAUAUGUGUUUCAUUGACCUGUUACUUAUCAAUUUUGACCAUUAUUUGUUUGCCUUUUUAUAGUAUAGUGUAGUCUUCAAUUUAACAGUUAGUCAUGCCAGCUUUAUUAAAACUCGACCCCAACUGAUAAUGAGACCAUGGUUAAUGGCCUUGAGUAGUUAACUAGGGUAAAUUUCUGACCAAAUGGAUAGGCACCAGAGUAGAGACAUUUAGGCUAAGUAAUUGAGAAGGAAAGACAAAGGUAACAGGGGUAUUUGGGCAUAAGAAUCUUGUAGCAAAUCCCUGGAACCUUCUAGUGGGAGGUUCGAAAUACAAUAUCUUGUAACUUUUCCCUUAAAACUUGAGGCACAAGUUAAAAAACAAGGGACCAAUUAAGCAAUUUUGGAAAUAAGGACGGGACUAAUAAGAAAACAAUAAGAAAAGGUUGCCCUAAGGCUUUGACUAUAAAAGGGUAUCUUGUUGUUUUAAGAAAGAGAGGAAGAAGUCGAGAACACCAUCUGAAGAAUUCCCUGAAAAUCCUAAGCUUUUCUGGCAAAAACAAAUCUCCUAAAAUAAUCAAAUUUUGUUCAUUAUAAGAUGAAGAUGACUCAAAGCAUAUGCAUUUAGGGUUUUAGAGUCUACUUUGAGCAUUAAUCCCAGGCUGGUUUGCUAUUUCGAGCUAUGGGCUUGGAACUUGUGUUGUUGUUGGUCUUUCAAAACCUUCCUGAGUUUCCUGAUACUACUCCUGGGACUUAAUUGGUUGAUCUGCUGCUGUUUGUUGCUUUUCGCUUACCUUACUCAUAGGUGUUUUCCUCUUUGCUUUAAUUCCAAGUACUUACUAUCACUCAGGAAAUUUGGGAAUGCACAGCUGUGUAUAUGCAUGAUCAUAUUUGACAAUGAAUGUUGAUCUGCUGUUGUUUGUUGCUUCUCGCUUACCUUAAUCAUAGGUGUUUUCCUCUUUGCUGUAAUUCCAGGUACUUACUCUCACUCAGGAAAUCUGGAAAUGCACAGCUGUGUAUAUGCUUAGUCAUAUUUGACAAUGAAUAUAUUUGUAUUUUUCAUGUUAAUGUUAUAGUUGCAAAUAUUACUAGUUUAGUAUUAUUUGGAAUAUUCAUCUAAUCUUGGUGUUGUAAUAUGUAUAAACAUUUGGACUAUGCUGGACUGUUAGCUUUAAGUUAUUUAAAUUUUAGUAGAG